rnacentral:tRNA from 1 species
UCGCCAUGCCGAGGCUGGCGGUAUUCGCCCCUGUUCCCGCCAAGGGCGGCUGGGCCGCCCAGGACGAGUCCUCCUGGGUCACCGCCGUGAUGGCGAC